AAAUGCGAUAAGUAAUGUGAAUUGCAGAAUUCAGUGAAUCAUCGAAUCUUUGAACGCACCUUGCGCUCCUUGGUAUUCCUUGGAGCAUGCCUGUUUGAGUAUCAUGAAAUCUUCACAGUAAAUCUUUUGUUAACUCAAUUGGUUUCUACUUUGGUAUUGGAGGUCUUUGCAGCUUCACACCUGCUCCUCUUUGUUCAUUAGCUGGAUCUCAGUGUUAUGCUUGGUUCCACUCGGCGUGAUAAGUUAUCUAUCGCUGAGGACACUGUAAAAGGUGGCCAAGGUAAAUGCAGAUGAACCGCUUCUAAUAGUCCAUUGACUUGGACAAUACUUUUAUGAUCUGAUCUCAAAUCAGGUAGGACUACCCGCUGAACUUAAGC
rnacentral:misc_RNA from 1 species